GACGAACGCUGGCGGCGUGCUUAACACAUGCAAGUCGAACGGUAAGGCCCUUCGGGGUACACGAGUGGCGAACGGGUGAGUAACACGUGGGCAACCUGCCCCUCACUUCGGGAUAACUCCGGGAAACCGGGGCUAAUACCGGAUAUGACCUCCUUGGGCAUCCUUGGAGGUGGAAAGUUUUUCGGUGAGGGAUGGGCCCGCGGCCUAUCAGCUUGUUGGUGAGGUAGUGGCUCACCAAGGCGACGACGGGUAGCCGGCCUGAGAGGGCGACCGCCCACAGUGGAGAAGAGACGCGGCCCAGACUCCGACGGGAGGCAGCAGUGGGGAAUAUUGCGCAAUGGGCGAAAGCCUGACGCAGCAACGCCGCGUGGGGGAUGACGGCCUUGGGGUUGUAAGCCUCUUACAGCAGGAAAGAAGCCGCAAGGUGACGGUACCUGCAGAAGAAGCACCGGCUAACUGCGUGCCAUCAGCGGCCGUAA
rnacentral:rRNA from 1 species